UCCUGGCUCAGGACGAACGCUGGCGGCGUGCCUAAUACAUGCAAGUCGAACGAAGCUUUCUUUCACCGAAUGCUUGCAUUCACCGAAAGAAGCUUAGUGGCGAACGGGUGAGUAACACGUAGGCAACCUGCCCAAAAGAGGGGGAUAACACUUGGAAACAGGUGCUAAUACCGCAUAACCAUGAACACCGCAUGAUGUUCAUGUAAAAGACGGCUUUUGCUGCCACUUUUGGAUGGGCCUGCGGCGUAUUAACUUGUUGGUGGGGUAACGGCCUACCAAGGUGAUGAUACGUAGCCGAACUGAGAGGUUGAUCGGCCACAUUGGGACUGAGACACGGCCCAAACUCCUACGGGAGGCAGCAGUAGGGAAUCUUCCACAAUGGACGAAAGUCUGAUGGAGCAACGCCGCGUGAAUGAAGAAGGCCUUCGGGUCGUAAAAUUCUGUUGUCAGAGAAGAACGUGCGUGAGAGUAACUGUUCACGUAUUGACGGUAUCUGACCAGAAAGCCACGGCUAACUACGUGCCAGCAGCCGCGGUAAUACGUAGGUGGCAAGCGUUGUCCGGAUUUAUUGGGCGUAAAGGGAACGCAGGCGGUCUUUUAAGUCUGAUGUGAAAGCCUUCGGCUUAACCGAAGUAGUGCAUUGGAAACUGGAAGACUUGAGUGCAGAAGAGGAGAGUGGAACUCCAUGUGUAGCGGUGAAAUGCGUAGAUAUAGGGAAGAACACCAGUGGCGAAAGCGGCUCUCUGGUCUGUAACUGACGCUGAGGUUCGAAAGCGUGGGUAGCAAACAGGAUUAGAUACCCUGGUAGUCCACGCCGUAAACGAUGAGUGCUAAGUGUUGGAGGGUUUCCGCCCUUCAGUGCUGCAGCUAACGCAUUAAGCACUCCGCCUGGGGAGUACGGUCGCAAGACUGCAACUCAAAGGAAUUGACGG
rnacentral:rRNA from 1 species